rnacentral:rRNA from 1 species
UACGUAGGGGGCAAGCGUUGUCCGGAUUUAUUGGGCGUAAAGAGCGUGUAGGCGGCCAGGUAGGUCAGCUGUGAAAACUCGAGGCUUAACCUCGAGACGCCGGCUGAAACCCUCUGGCUAGAGUCCGGAAGAGGAGAGCGGAAUUCCUGGUGUAGCGGUGAAAUGCGCAGAUAUCAGGAAGAGCACCAAUGGCGAAAGCAGCUCUCUGGGACGGUACUGACGCUGAGACGCGAAAGCGUGGGGAGCGAACAGG